rnacentral:rRNA from 1 species
UACAGAGGUCUCAAGCGUUGUUCGGAUUCAUUGGGCGUAAAGGGUGCGCAGGCGGCGCGGUAAGUCGGGUGUGAAACCUCGGAGCUUAACUCCGAAACUGCAUUCGAUACUGCCGUGCUUGAGGACUGGAGAGGAGACUGGAAUUUACGGUGUAGCGGUGAAAUGCGUAGAUAUCGUAAGGAAGACCAGUGGCGAAGGCGGGUCUCUGGACAGUUCCUGACGCUGAGGCACGAAGGCCAGGGGAGCAAACGGG